ACAUUGGUUAUUCAGUGGUAGAAUUCCUCCCUUCCAUGCAGGAGACCCGAGUUAGAUUCCUGGCUAGUAUA
rnacentral:tRNA from 1 species